UCUCUUUCACAUUCUGCGAUUCGGCACUAUAUGAACCCUGCCGGCUUGCCGGCUAUGGUGAUAAACGGUGCGUGGAAUAAACGUUGUGGACCCGGGGGCGGUACCCGGCGCCUCCAUAUCUGCGGGGGCGAAAUAGAUUCGACACGCGUGGUAAAGACCCAUCUUUUGCCCGGCAUUGUACCGCCGUUAUCGGGCUAAUUUUUAAAUGCGAACGAUAACAACGUAGCAUUCGCUGUCGCUGCCUAAUUAGCAGCUAAG
rnacentral:tmRNA from 1 species